rnacentral:rRNA from 1 species
GGUAAUCAUGCGAAUAAGGGGGCGGCUAAUUACGUGCCACGCAGCCGCGGUAACACGUAAGCCCCAAGCGUUGUUCGGAAUUAUUGGGCGUAAAGGGCAUGUAGGCGGUUAUGUAAGCCUGAUGUGAAAUCUACGAGCUUAACUCGUAAACUGCAUUGGGUACUGCGUAACUUGAAUCACGGAGGGGAAACCGGAAUUCCAAGUGUAGGGGUGGAAUCUGUAGAUAUUUGGAAGAACACCGGUGGCGAAGGCGGGUUUCUGGCCGAUGAUUGACGCUGAGAUGCGAAGGUGCGGGGAGCAAACAGGAUUAGAUACCCUGGUAGUCCGCACAGUAAACAAUGUACACUAGGCGUUGGAGCAAGAGCUUCAGUGCCGACGCAAACGCAUUAAGUGUACCGCCUGGGAAGUAUGCCCGCAAGGGUGAAACUCAAAGGAAUUGACGGGGGCCCACACAAGCGGUGGAGCAUGUGGUUUAAUUCGAUGAUACGCGAGGAACCCUUACCUGGGUUUGACAUGGGGUU